GAAAUAACGUGAAAUCGUACUUCCGGGCAGUUGUCAGGAUGGCAUUAUCAAUAAUCUACUAGACUCGCUACGUUCAAAACCACUUAGAGCUUACUACAAAAAGCGAGAGAGCGAUGGAUAACAACUGGGUUUAGAAAAUGUGUUCUAAAUAGAGCUCUGAGUUAUUACAGCGGUUGUUCAAGCGUCAAUACGAGACAUUUUCCAACAAAGUACAGAUAUAAAAGGGCAAACAACAUAGCUGGAUAAAGCAUCCUAAGUCUGCACCUCGUAAAGCUAUGACAAUGAGAGAAAUGUAUCCACCCAGGCAAUCAGAAUAUAGAGUGCAACCCGGAAGGUGUGCUGCAGCCCAAAGAGAGUCAUGGUUAUUGGCAUCAAGUUCUCCAUCAGCUUUACCUCACAGGCACCACUUGUGAUUUCAUAGUUUGAACACCAAUGAACAUGGAAGUGAUUCUCAUCCUUCGAGAUGAAUUAUGGGAAUUAUAUUUGACAUACAUGAUUGAGCCUUUGUGCCUUCUCUGCAAUAACCAACUAGACAGACUUGUGAAAAUUCAAAUGUCUUCCAUUAGUUUUAUUUUGUUUUUGCUACAAAUGAUCAGUGUGAAGAUGUGCAUGAAUCACCAUUGUAACAAUUUCUUUGACUAGCAACCUUAAAUAAAUGUUCACUUUA